GACGAACGCUGGCGGCGUGCCUAACACAUGCAAGUCGAACGAAAAGACGAUGCGCUUGUUCCUUUGACGUUAGCGGAGGGCGGGUGUGUCACGCGUGUAUCACCCACUUAUCUUACUGGGAUCACCACGGGACACCGGCUCUUAUACGAUAGAAUAUACUGAACCGUAUUGUUCAAUGGAGAGAGACGGCUUUGCGGUCUGGACUAGAGGCAUCCGCGCUGGAUUGGCUAGUAGGUAGGGUACCGGCCUAUGACGGCAAGGAUGCGUAGGCGACCUGAGAGGGUGAUCUGGCACACUUGAGCGGAGACACGGUCCAGUCUCCUACGGGAGGCAGCAGAGGGGAAUCUGCGGCAAUGGGCGAAAGCCUGACGGAGCAACGCCGCGUGAGUGAUGAAGGUCUUCGGCUCGUAAAACGCUGUUAUUAGGGAAGAACAAAUGUGUCAGUAGCUAUGCAGGUCUUGACGGUACCUAAUCAGAAAGCCACGGCUAACUACGUG
rnacentral:rRNA from 1 species